UACGAAGGGGGCUAGCGUUGUUCGGAAUUACUGGGCGUAAAGGGCGCGUAGGCGGUGUGUCAAGUCAGGCGUGAAAGCCCCGGGCUCAACCUGGGAACAGCGCUUGAGACUGGCACGCUCGAGUUCGGGGAGAGGAUGGUGGAAUUCCCAGUGAUAGAGGUGAAAUUUCGGUAGAUAUUGGGAAGAACACCGAUGGCGAAGGGCAGCCAUCUGGACCGACACUGACGCUGAGGCGCGGAAAGCGUGGGGAGCAAACAGG
rnacentral:rRNA from 1 species